CGAGCGAGAGAGAGAGAGAGAGAGAGAGAGAGAGAAGCUAUGUUUGAACGCCGACCAGCAUUUUCUUAGAGACACAAUGGUGGCUGAUCGAGGUUAUUAUGCAUUUAAGGACUCGUUAAUUGCAUUAUUCCGAUUCGUAUUCAUAAAUUCUGU